UAUUCUUAUAUUCAUCUCCUCUGAGGAGCUAAACCUUAUCUCCAGAGAGGUCUGUUUAUCCAGUCAUAUUCCUUUAGAGGCCCUCAUGUUUUCUCUUCCAAGAGGAGGCUGGGGGCACUCAGGUGUGGCUCAGGUGAUCUGCCGCUGAAUCAGGAAAAAUUGUGCAGUGACGACAGCGACAGCAAAGCCCUGGUCCGCGCCCUUUACAAUCCCUGACAUAGGAGUGAGUCAGGCCUGCUGCCCCACCUGGGUACUGCUGCACUGCUGACCACAGGCCCAGAAUGAGGAAUGGCAGGAAUGGGCACUGGCAGAGGCAGAAUGGGCAGGGGAAAGGGAGACAGACAUUUGGAAAUGGGAGUGUCUGAAAAGGGAAAGCAGGGUGGAGGGACAGUGCCAGGGUCCUGGGGUCAGGGAAUGACAGGUGAAAGCUUCAACUGCUCCUAGUAUUCAGUAGAUCCUCAAUAACUAUUUGUUGACUUGAGACAGGUUUGAGAUAGAAAGGGAACAAGGAAUAGCAAAAAGGACAUGUUGUAAUCUAGUGGCGUUAGAGGAAAUUGGUUUAAGUACCAGCUCUACUACUUAUUAACUAGGAAAUAUUGGGUCAGUUUCUUAAGGUUACUGAAAAUCUGUUUCCUCAAUUGAUAAAUGGGCAAAUUGACCUUUAGGUAACCACAAAGAUUAAGAAUAUAAAUAUACUCCUUCGGGGCACAUAGUAGGUGCCUCUUGCAUUAUUGCAAGCAUUAAUGGGCAUUAUUGUAAUUAAGAGAAGAGGGGCUGCUUUGGAGCUGGGAUGUGCAGGAGUGAGCCAUCCCAGGAGUAGGGGACUGGAAUGAGAAAAUAAUCUCCAAGUGCUAACAUCUCGAGGAGAUAUGAGUUCUUUUUCUCUUUUUACUCCACCUUCCCUCCCUCUGCAGGUUUUGUGGCUCUUCAUUUUCUCCAGAGAAGCAAAGACUUCCGCAUUUCCAGGUCCUGUUCAACUAAUAUGCUCCAGGCUCAUCUGGCAUAUUUACAUUUCCUUGGCAGAAGAAUUUUGGUGGAUGAAGAAACUAAAGAAUAGCCAGGCCAGGCUCACUCCUGUUGGGAGGUUGAAGAUCUUUGUGACUAAGACUCAAGUUAAUUGGGGGUGAAUGAGGAAUAAGGUAAGCAAAGCUAAAAAGAAUCUGGGGAAAGAUACACAUAAAGAUACAAACACGGAAGGUCAAAUAUUGGCCAAGGAUAGAAUGUUGAUCCCAAAGCUCAUACACUUUUCUGUGGACACUAAGACUUGAACAAAUCAAUCACUUGAGAAUAUAAACAGCCCGCCAUGUCUAUAUUUUGUUGAGUUAUAAAAGUAUAACAGUUGGGAGAAACCUAAACAAUAGGUAAAUGUAUUAAGGUAGAAAGUUAAAUUGUCCCUCUACCCCUCCCUCUCCCAUUCCCAACCCUGCUCUCCAGGACAGGCUCAUAAAUGUUGUUACUCAUUUUAGCCAUUCCUUCAGCCAACAUUCAUCUCCUUCAUCCUCACAAUCAUCCUAUGAGGUAAGAGCUAUUAUUAUGCCUUUAUUUUUAAAAUUGUAGUAAAAUAAAAAUUUUAAUCAUUUUUAAACACACAGUUCAGUGGCAUUAAGUACCUUCACAUUAUUAUUAUUA
rnacentral:lncRNA from 1 species